CGAAAGCCUGACGGAGCAAUACCGCGUGGGGGAGGAAGGCUCUUGGGUUGUAAACCUCUUUUCUCAGGGAAUAAUAAAUGAAGGUACCUGAGGAAUCAGCAUCGGCUAACUCCGUGCCAGCAGCCGCGGUAAUACGGAGGAUGCAAGCGUUAUCCGGAAUGAUUGGGCGUAAAGGGUCCGCAGGUGGCAGUGUAAGUCUGCUGUUAAAGAGUCUGGCUCAACCAGAUCAAGGCAGUGGAAACUACACAGCUAGAGUUCGAUAGGGGCAGAGGGAAUUCCUGGUGUAGCGGUGAAAUGCGUAGAGAUCAGGAAGAACACCGGUGGCGAAAGCGCUCAGCUAGGUCGCAACUGACACUGAGGGACGAAAGCUAGGGGAGCGAAUGGGAUUAGAUACCCCAGUAGUCCUAGCCGUAAACGAUGGAUACUAGGCGUUGCUUGUAUCGACCCAAGCAGUGCCGUAGCUAACGCGUUAAGUAUCCCGCCUGGGGAGUACGCACGCAAGUGUGAAACUCAAAGGAAUUGACGGGGGCCCGCACAAGCGGUGGAGUAUGUGGUUUAAUUCGAUGCAACGCGAAGAACCUUACCAGGACUUGACAUGUCGCGAAUUAGGGUGAAAGCCUUAAGUGCCUUCGGGAGCGCGAACACAGGUGGUGCAUGGCUGUCGUCAGCUCGUGUCGUGAGAUGUUGGGUUAAGUCCCGCAACGAGCGCAACCCUCGUUCUUAGUUGCCAGCAUUUCGGAUGGGCACUCUAAGAAGACUGCCGGUGACAAACCGGAGGAAGGUGGGGAUGACGUCAAGUCAGCAUGCCCCUUACGUCCUGGGCUACACACGUACUACAAUGCUGUGGACAAUGGGCAGCAAGCAGGCAACUGCAAGCAAAUCUCAUAAACCAUGGCUCAGUUCAGAUCGAAGGCUGCAACUCGCCUUCGUGAAGGUGGAAUCGCUAGUAAUUGCAGGUCAGCAUACUGCAGUGAAUUCGUUCCCGGGCCUUGUACACACCGCCCGUCACACCAUGGAAGCUGGUAGUGCCCGAAGUCGUUACCCUAACCGAAAGGCGGGGGACGCCGAAGGCAGGACUGGUGACUGGGGUGAAGUCGUAACAAGGUAGCCGUACCGGAAGGUGUGGCUGGAUCACCUCCUUUUCAGGGAGACCGAACUCAAAGUCAGCAACGUUAAUUUGAAGAAGUUGUGACUGGAAGUCAUCCCAGGUCGUGCGCAAGCAUUAUUCAUGGACUUUCAAACUAUAAAACAGGUUCGGAAUUCGGGCUAUUAGCUCAGGUGGUUAGAGCGCACCCCUGAUAAGGGUGAGGUCCCUGGUUCGAGUCCAGGAUGGCCCACCUGAAGAGUAAUUAGUAAUUGCUAAUUCGUAAUCAGUAAUUAAUUAUGAACUACGAAUUACUGAUUACGAAUUAUCUUGGGGGUUUAGCUCAGCUGGUAGAGCGCCUGCUUUGCAAGCAGGAUGUCAGCAGUUCGAGUCUGCUAACCUCCAUUCACAGUCGUAAAUCAUCUAGAAAUAGGUAGAUUGAAAAUGUGAAUUAAUCAAAAAAACCAGAAAAGUUCAGCAAUCUGACUUAUUUCGUCAGUCUGCUGGAAGUUUUCCAGCCAGAACCUUGAAAACUGCAUAGUAACGCGAAUGUAGGUAGUUGACACUUCAGUGUCAACAGACAUAAGACACCAAUGUAAUGUGGUCAAGCUAAUCAAGGCUAAUGGUGGAUACCUAGGCACACAGAG
rnacentral:sRNA from 1 species